UUCUUUCUCUGUGGACCCCGCAGCGAGGCGCCGGCCCCAGAACACGCCGUCAGCAUGAAGCGGAGAGCGGAUCCCUCCCGGCCUCCCGGCCAGGAGUCCAGGGCCAACGCGCCGGAGCCCGGCUAGCGCCGAUGGGGCCUGACCACAGACCCAACUUGUCAAGGAAAAGAGUGCAGACUUUGCCACCAGCCACCGGCACAGAGGCCUGAGCGUUGGCAGUGGAGGCACCAGACCCGGCUGCUGCUGUUGGCGGUAGCCAUGUGCUGGGCGUGAAGAACCGUGAUAAGUUGGAGCCCUGUGUCUUCCUGAGCUGGAAAGCAAGCAGAAGGAUUUGUUGUGCUUGUACAUGUCUACAACUGACCUUAGGGCCAGAAAGGAUUCCUAUUGUAUAUUCUCAACCACCUAAUAAUAAAGAACCUAAAUAAAUAUCA